rnacentral:lncRNA from 1 species
UUGUCUUCCCGAGUAGCUGCUCCAUUCCCGGCAUAGAGGAUCAGGAGAGGGGACGCCACCUGCCACACGCUGGAUGCUGGGGUCCGCACGACUGCGGCUUGUGUCGCUGUGGUUGGUGGUGGUGAUGGAAACUGCAGCGUGGCUGGAGUGCAGAAGAGAAACUGUCUUUAAAAUCUGUCUGCCUGGAUAAACUCAAAGGAGCCUUUACAGAAAGCACAUUCACACAGACUGGCUAAUGAGACCCCACACUGAAGAAGCCUAGAACUUCCACAGACUCCCUGAAAUCUAAGUCCUCAUUUUUAACAUACAGCUUUUAAUACUAGCUUCAGAAGUCCCGGAUCCCUGCAAAGCAGGAAGAGAGAGGUUCAUGUAACCUACUUAGGAACAGAGUUUAUUGGUUCCAAAGGCAUGAAGUCAGAGUUGUCAUCAGUUUAUCGGCGGAGAUGCUGUUACUGGGCAACAAUGAACCAUUUCUUGAUUGGAUUGUGAUGUGACGAAAAGUGGAUUUUAUACGACAACCGGCAAUGACCAGCUCAGUGGUUGGACCAAGAAGACGCUCCAAGGCACUUCCCAAAGCCAAACUUGCACCAAAAAAGGUUAUGGUCACUAUUUGGUGGUCGUCGGCUCGUCUGAUCCACUGCAGCUUUCUGAAUGCCAGUGAAACCAUUGCCUCUGAGGAGUGUACUCAGCAAAUUGAUGACAUGCACUGAAAACUCCAGCGCCUGCAGGCAGCAUUGAUCAACAGAAAAGCCCAAUUCUUCUUCAUGACAGCACCUGACCACAUGUCACACAACUCACGCUUUAAAAGUUGAACAAAUUGGGCUACGAAGUUUCACCUCAUCUGCCGUAUUCACCUGAUCUCUCGCCAACUGACUACUACUUAUUCGAGCAUCUUGACAACUCUUUGCAGGGAAAAUGCUUUCAGGACCAGCAGGAUGCAGAAAAUGCUUUCAAGAGUUUAUUGAAUCCUGAAGAAUGGAUUUUUACACUAUAGAAAUAAACAGACUGGGCGCAGUGGCUCACGCCUGUAAUCUCAGCACUUUGGGAGGCCAAGGCAGCCAGAUCACCUGAGGU